rnacentral:rRNA from 1 species
UGAGGAAUAUUGGUCAAUGGACGAGAGUCUGAACCAGCCAAGUAGCGUGCAGGAUGACGGCCCUAUGGGUUGUAAACUGCUUUUGUUUGGGAAUAAUCGACAUUACGUGUAAUGUUUUGCAUGUACCAUUCGAAUAAGGACCGGCUAAUUCCGUGCCAGCAGCCGCGGUAAUACGGAAGGUCCAGGCGUUAUCCGGAUUUAUUGGGUUUAAAGGGAGUGUAGGCGGUUGGUUAAGCGUGUUGUGAAAUGUAGAUGCUCAACAUCUGACUUGCAGCGCGAACUGGCUGACUUGAGUACACACAACGUAGGCGGAAGUCAUGGUGUAGCGGUGAAAUGCUUAGAUAUCAUGAAGAACUCCGAUUGCGAAGGCAGCUUACGGGAGCGCAACUGACGCUGAAGCUCGAAGGUGCGGGUAUCGAACAGG